rnacentral:lncRNA from 1 species
UUAACGAAGGAAAAGGAGAUUUUGAACUUGUGGAUCAAAGAAAUGAAAACCAACAAGAGCAGAGAAAAGAAGAUGACGAGGAAGAGGAACAAGGAGAAGAGGAGAUAAAUAAACAAGUGCAAAAUUACAAAGCUAAAUUAUCUUCAGGAGAUGUUUUUGUGAUUCCAGCAGGCCAUCCAGUUGCCGUAAAAGCUUCCUCAAAUCUUGAUUUGCUUGGGUUUGGUAUUAAUGCUGAGAACAAUCAGAGGAACUUUCUUGCAGGUAUAUUAUAUUAUCACCCAGUCUCUGUCACUAUUUAUUCAUUUUAAGUGUGUAUUUUAAAAGUCGACUUCUAUUUAAAUCAAGGGGAAAAUAUUAAGAUAUGCUUAUUAUUUUGGUGAUUAAAAAUUUGAAGGCGAUGAGGAUAAUGUGAUUAGUCAGAUACAGCGACCAGUGAAAGAGCUUGCAUUCCCUGGAUCAGCUCAAGAGGUUGAUAGGAUACUAGAGAAUCAGAAACAAUCCCACUUUGCAGAUGCUCAACCUCAACAAAGGGAGAGAGGAAGUCGUGAAACAAGAGAUCGUCUAUCUUCAGUUUGAAAUGUUUCUUAAUGAGUGGACAAAAUACUAUGUAUGUAUGCUAUCAAGAGAUAUAUCUCACGGGGAGCAAUGAAUAAAACAAUGUUAUCUUAUAACUAUAAUUAUAUAUCCACUUUUCUACUAUGAAUAAAUAAA